rnacentral:misc_RNA from 1 species
AUUUCUUUGAAGCGUCUCUUGAUACGUCCAAAUUUGAGAUCCAUCUGUUGCUUUAGAUGUCGCUCCCAUUGUUGCAAAGUUUUGUCCCUAUAUUCAAGGGCUUUAGUUCCACGAUCACUGUUGCAAGAACCACCAUAAUUGCCACUUCCAUCAAUGUAAGUCAUGUAGAUAAACCUAAAUUCUUGGGGAAAAUCUAGAUAGAAUAGGAA